CUCUCUUUCUCUCUUCUGCAACCUCCUCUUUCACCACCUCUAGACCACCAAAUGGCGAGCUGCGAGCAUCGAUAGACUCGUCUCUUCCUCCUUAUCACGCAUGUGGGAGUUGUUUACGACGAUUUGGCCGGAAAUGUGGAGAUCGAAGCCAACAUUUUUACUGUAGCAAAUUAGUCAACGCCGAUUUCCGGCCACCUCCAGUCAUAAACCCAGGUCCAUUAGAAGCGCCUUAAGCCGCUCUUCAUGCUCGCCAAGUCUCAUAACCCAGAUCGAAGCAUGGAGGAAGAAAGCAUAAUUGGAAAAUUUCACUGUACAUCGGAGUGCUUAAUUGUUCGGCUACUUCAAGGUGAUUGACGGUUUGAGUUGGUGGACGAUUGUGGAUCGUAUUUUGAGCUGAAUUGAAGACGCAGCGGGAUUAUCGAGCGGGUAAUCCUACAGGACAGGAGAACCAGGACGGUGACCGUGCGGUUAGAGCAAUUGUUAGAGUUUUACAGCAAUUGUAAGUUGUGAGGUGUGUUAUGCUCAUUUAGAGCUUUACAAUAUUGCUUGUGAGAGUGAAUUGUAAUAAUGAACUCGAGGUUUCGAGA